GGUUAUCCCCAGUUCAUUACUUCCUAUUUCAGCUCUGCACUCCUGAAUUAUUAACAAGCGUGGCUCUGGAAAGGUAACGGAACUCUAGCUGUGUUCCCAGUGGCAUUAACCUAGAGCAAUACCAGAUGCUGGCUUGUCAAUGGCUCUAUUCACUGGAAGUAGUGAGGCAAGUGAUGAAACACCACCCGAAGCUCUGAUAAAUCCAGCCUGACCUCCCACUCCCACUUGCCUUGAGGGCUUCUGCACUGCACAAGGCAACCCAGAGACUCCAUGCAGAUUGCUUAGCCGUAAGUCUGGCAUUCCCCAGAAUGAAGCAUCACCACUUGAUCUGUUGGCCCCAUGGUUUCUAGGCCCCAUCCCCACUGAACAACAUCAAUGGACAAUGAACCUGAUAAAGCCAAAAGGCAAAGUGUUGGAA